rnacentral:tmRNA from 1 species
GGGGCUGAUUCUGGAUUCGACGGGAUUUGCGAAACCCAAGGUGCAUGCCGAGGGGCGGUUGGCCUCGUAAAAAGCCGCAAAAAAAUAGUCGCAAGCGACGAAAACUACGCUUUAGCAGCUUAAUAACCUGCUUAGAGCCCUCUCUUCCUAGCCUCCGCUCUUAGGACGGGGAUCAAGAGAGGUCAAACCCAAAAGAGAUCGCGUGGAUGCCCUGCCUGGGGUUGAAGCGUUAAAACGAAUCAGGCUAGUCUGGUAGUGGCGUGUCCGUCCGCAGGUGCCAGGCGAAUGUAAAGACUGACUAAGCAUGUAGUACCGAGGAUGUAGGAAUUUCGGACGCGGGUUCAACUCCCGCCAGCUCCACCA